UACGUAGGGUCCGAGCGUUGUCCGGAAUUACUGGGCGUAAAGAGCUCGUAGGUGGUUUGUCGCGUUGUUCGUGAAAACUCACAGCUUAACUGUGGGCGUGCGGGCGAUACGGGCGAGACUGGAGUACUGCAGGGGAGACUGGAAUUCCUGGUGUAGCGGUGGAAUGCGCAGAUAUCAGGAGGAACACCGGUGGCGAAGGCGGGUCUCUGGGCAGUAACUGACGCUGAGGAGCGAAAGCGUGGGGAGCGAACAGG
rnacentral:rRNA from 1 species